rnacentral:rRNA from 1 species
UAGGGAAUCUUCGGCAAUGGACGAAAGUCUGACCGAGCAACGCCGCGUGAGUGAAGAAGGUUUUCGGAUCGUAAAACUCUGUUGUUAGAGAAGAACAAGGACGUUAGUAACUGAACGUCCCCUGACGGUAUCUAACCAGAACGCCACGGCUAACUACGUGCCAGCAGCCGCGGUAAUACGUAGGUGGCAAGCGUUGUCCGGAUUUAUUGGGCGUAAAGCGAGCGCAGGCGGUUUCUUAAGUCUGAUGUGAAAGACCCCGGCUCAACCGGGGAGGGUAAUUGGAAACUGGGAGACUUGAGUGCAGAAGAGGAGAGUGGAAUUCCAUGUGUAGCGGUGAAAUGCGUAGAUAUAUGGAGGAACACCAGUGGCGAAGGCGGCUCUCUGGUCUGUAACUGACGCUGAGGCUCGAAAGCGUGGGGAGCAAACAGG